CUAUAAAUGUACAGAAAAAGGAUGAAAAUGUUUUGAUAAGACAAUGGCUUAAUCCAAUAUAUAUUUUGACAGGACCAUUCUGGUUACUGUGUAAACCACACGCCACAGGGGGCAAAGGUAAAGGCAAGAAACCAGUCAAGAGGCUCCCGUAGUAGCUAAGAGGAAGAAAAUGAUGUUGACUGAGACAAUAAGACACACAAUGAGACUGGGAUAACAAGCCAUUGAGAUGGAAGGAAAAACCAAGAAUGGGUUUCAGUCUUGUGCUUCACUGCAAACUUGCAUUCUGAAAAGCAGGAUCUGCUAACUUCUACUUUAGAAGUCACCGAGAUUUGAAGCAAAUUGAGCUGUCCAGAAGGUAAGUAUCUCAGGUAACCUCAUCAAACGUUUUCACAGUAAUCCCAGCACUUUAGGAAGCUGAGGCAGGUGGAUCACCUGAGGUCAGGAAU
rnacentral:lncRNA from 1 species